rnacentral:rRNA from 1 species
GACAGAGGGUGCAAACGUUGUUCGGAAUUACUGGGCGUAAAGCGCGUGUAGGCGGUCUUGUAAGUCGGAUGUGAAAGCCCCGGGCUCAACCUGGGAAUUGCAUUGGAGACUGCAAGGCUUGAAUCUGGCAGAGGGGGGUAGAAUUCCACGUGUAGCAGUGAAAUGCGUAGAGAUGUGGAGGAACACCGAUGGCGAAGGCAGCCCCCUGGGUCAAGAUUGACGCUCAUGCACGAAAGCGUGGGGAGCAAACAGG